UGAAAGUCUGAUUGGUCUUAUC
rnacentral:miRNA from 1 species